rnacentral:tRNA from 2 species
GCUCCUGUGGCGAAACGGAAAACGCACUAGACCGAGGAUCUAGUUUUUUGUGGGUUCGACUCCCAUCAGGAGUACCA